rnacentral:rRNA from 1 species
GCUAGUUGGUGAGGUAAAGGCUCACCAAGGCGACGAUCUGUAGCGGGUCUGAGAGGAUGAUCCGCCACACUGGAACUGAGACACGGUCCAGACUCCUACGGGAGGCAGCAGUGGGGAAUUUUGGACAAUGGGGGCAACCCUGAUCCAGCCAUGCCGCGUGAGUGAAGAAGGCCUUCGGGUUGUAAAGCUCUUUCGGCCGGGAAGAAAUCGCAUGGGCUAAUACCCUGUGCGGAUGACGGUACCGGCAUAAGAAGCACCGGCUAACUACGUGCCAGCAGCCGCGGUAAUACGUAGGGUGCGAGCGUUAAUCGGAAUUACUGGGCGUAAAGCGUGCGCAGGCGGUUUUGUAAGACAGGCGUGAAAUCCCCGGGCUCAACCUGGGAACUGCGUUUGUGACUGCAAGGCUAGAGUACGGCAGAGGGGGGUGGAAUUCCACGUGUAGCAGUGAAAUGCGUAGAGAUGUGGAGGAACACCAAUGGCGAAGGCAGCCCCCUGGGUCGAUACUGACGCUCAUGCACGAAAGCGUGGGUAGCAAACAGGAUUAGAUACCCUGGUAGUCCACGCCCUAAACGAUGUCAACUAGGUGUUGGGUGGGUAAAACCAUUUAGUACCGGAGCUAACGCGUGAAGUUGACCGCCUGGGGAGUACGGCCGCAAGGUUAAAACUCAAAGGAAUUGACGGGGACCCGCGCAAGCGGUGGAUGAUGUGGAUUAAUUCGAUGCAACGCGAAAAACCUUACCUACCCUUGACAUGUCCAGAAGCCUGAAGAGAUUUGGGUGUGCCCGAAAGGGAACUGGAACACAGGUGCUGCAUGGCUGUCGUCAGCUCGUGUCGUGAGAUGUUGGGUUAAGUCCCGCAACGAGCGCAACCCUUGUCGUUAAUUGCCAUCAUUCAGUUGGGCACUUUAACGAGACUGCCGGUGACAAACCGGAGGAAGGUGGGGAUGACGUCAAGUCCUCAUGGCCCUUAUGGGUAGGGCUUCACACGUCAUACAAUGGUCGGUACAAAGGGUUGCCAAGCCGCGAGGUGGAGCCAAUCCCAGAAAGCCGAUCGUAGUCCGGAUCGUAGGCUGCAACUCGCCUGCGUGAAGUCGGAAUCGCUAGUAAUCGUGGAUCAGCAUGUCACGGUGAAUACGUUCCCGGGUCUUGUACACACCGCCCGUCACACCAUGGGAGCGGGUUCCGCCAGAAGUAGGUAGCCUAACCGCAA